UAUAUAUAUAUAUAUAUAAUUUAACUUUAUUACUUGAAAAGGAGAAUGCUUUCUAAUCAGUUUAAAAAUUUGAUUGAAAAAAAAAAAUAAAAAAAUAUAUAUAUAAGUUAUAUAUACAUGAUUUCAUGCACGAUCCUGAUAACAAUGGUUGUUAAUCACAGCUAUUAAGAUUAUUAAACUGUUGUUUUAACAUUGAGAUAUUUCAUAUUACUCAGAAUUGUUUCAUAUAUCAACUUUAAGUCAAAUAUUACUCCCCAAAAAAGGUAUUUAGUGAGAAACAUCAGUGUCUGAAGCUCAAGAGGAGACGUGUGAGAUUAUAGGGCCUUUUUCUCAUGAGAACAAUCUGAGAAAAUGGAUAUUUCAACAGAAAAUCUCCAUUUAAAUCACAUGAAUUUCACAUGUGGACAACAUGUCACCACACGUUUCAAAGUAUGUGCUCCACAUGCUUUUGCACAUGUGAAAUUUAUGUCUUUUUUCCAUAAGGGUUUAAUUGAAUCACUUAUAUCACUAUAUUAAAGAAAUCUCAUUUGUAUAUUCAUUACGGCAUACAUUUUGAUCUAGAAUAUGCUUUUACCGUACAUGGCAUCAAACAUCACACAUUUAAUUUGCAUGGCAUAUUGUCAGCUUUAAAACUAACAAGACUGAAAAUUUCAUCCCAUCAAUAAUGCAUGAUAUUUACAGGCUGGUGUUGGGCAGAGAAGAGCCCAGGGACGCGGCUUUCCCCUCGACUUCAUUUGGCUGUGUGACAGGAUCCAUAACCCUCUCUGAAUCCUAUCAAAUGAUGUGGUAUGAAGUGUCAUCUUCUCUCUGAGCGCUUCUGAGGAGUUUCAUCUCUGCGGGGAACUGUCAUCAGGUUCCUCUUCCAUUCUCUCUCCCCCAUUCCCAUCAAUUGAAUGGGCUAUCAGACACGUCCAAUCAGAGGCCAGUUCCAUUGGUCAGGCUGAAGGUGAUCAGCAGGUGAAGUUGCUCCCCUCUGCGUCUCUACUUCCUGUCCCACCAGGGCAGCAUCCCCUCCACAUGCUUUAUCCAUCCUGAGUGCAGCGAAACAACACAAGUAGUUUCUGAGAUGCACAAAAGGUUUGUGCGUGCAUGUUUGUGUGUGUGUGUGUAUUCUUGCUGCUUUCUCUGGUUUUGUGUUAUCUCAAAAGACAGGAAUGCAACCUUGGAAAAUAAAGUACUUCAUGAAAAAGAAAUUCAUAAAUUCAACUUCUGUUAGGGUUUACGUGGGAGUUAAAUAUUUUUCAUGUACAAUAUUCAUUACAAUCAGUUCAAACAGUUCUCAAGCAUUAGAUUCGACUAAAAUAUUCUUGUUUUUCUUACAUAUAUCAUGUUUAUUCAUUUCCAACAUUUAUAUUCAAGUACGUUCAAAAAUAUGAAACCAUUUUUCUGUUUGUUAUGAAAGAUUAAUCCCCAGUUGCUGGUGUAUUUUGCAUGAAUUUGUCGUGCCCUGAGGACAAAUCUAUCCCAUACAAAUUUACAUCCUCACAGGGUAAUAAAUCUCUCCACACAUAGCAACAAUCUUGCAAAAUCAUUAAUGUUUUUGUCCUCUCUUAUCAAUUCCAUUUUCUGGAGUAAUUGAGCAGUAAUCUAAUUGGUCCAGUGACCCUUUGCAUAAUUAAAUGUUAUCAAAGUGAUCUGUCGGCAACUGGCAGAGAACAGAUGUUGCUCUUCAGUGGAGUAAUCAGUCAUCGACCCCUGGCCUGAGCCAAUCACAAUUACCUUGAUUUGUGCAGUCCAGAGUGUGAGACCCCAUGUCCUAAGUCACUCAGAAACCCCCGAAUGGAUCAAUAACCCCCUCAGUAGCUCCGCCCACCUCGUUCUCACUCUGUGACUUUGAUAGGUUUAACAUGUUACAUAAGCCAUUUCAGUUUACAACAGUCAAUUUAAAACCUGAAAUGAGCUACUAGUGGCACCAAAAGUAAUUGCAAUUCUUUUUGAUGCCACUAGUGGAGCAGAAAUUACGCACUUUACCAUGUCCAAAACUGAAUUUCGUUUAGAUUCUUAAGGUGCAGUUACAUUUACUAUUGUUUAGCAAAUUUUCGCUUGUGUAAUCCACUCAUUUUAAUAGGAAUCUGUAAAAUUGGGGAUUUCGUGUGAGGGCGAAAGAUUUCCCCAUGCAGAUUUCACAACGAGUUCAAGCUUGUCACGUGAAUUCGCCGCAAUGACAAACCGGAAGCUGCUUGGUUUGAAAGUGACUUCUGUGCAGUGUUGCCAAGUCCGUGGGAAUUGGGCUACUUUAACACUGUUGCCGCGGGUUGUUUUUCAUGUUCGCAGGUUGAAGCGACCCCAAAUAACAUGAUAUUUAGGCCCUGGAAUUCGAAUUUUACCAGGGGAACCCCACCAAAAACGCGUAUUUUACCCCCCUGGAAUGUGACCAGAGAACCGAAAAUUGGGCUAGUUUUGAGUAGCAUUUGGGCAGGUUUUGUUGUGAAAACCUGGCAACCCUGCUGCUGUGUUAGCUGUGCUAUAUACAGGGGCGCACAUAACUUUUUUGGUCUGGUUCUCAAGGGAGCACUUGGGAGCACCUUCUUUUCUCUCGAACAUGGUAGAUGACGAUAAUAAUGUUUUUAUUUUUUUUAUUUUAUUAACAUUAAUGACACAGACAACAGCAAGAAUAUUAGGCUGCUGUCACUUUAAGACGGAAUGCACACACGGACUGAAUAUACUGACACACAUCCGGUUUCUUUCUCAACUGUUCACUAAUGACAUAACCGAGAGAACACUUGCCGAGACAGGUAUUUUGACAUAAUUUUGUGUGUAUGUGUCUGUUCAAGUGAAAAUAAACGCGAAAGAGGAAUCAAUUCGGUGUUCAAGCGCUGUCUGAAAUGCACAUCUCUCUCUCUGCGUGCGUGUGCUUCGGGUGUGGCACAGAUAACAGCUCGUGAGUCCCGAUUUUCGCCUCUUCUUCCACUUUUAAAAUCAUUUUGAAUGUGUUAAUUGGCGAGACAAAACACGUCCAAAUGAUAAACUUUCACUCUAUGAUGAUUAACUGCGAUCCGUUGCACCCCUAAUAAUUAAAGAACACGCUUAUCAUCAUGAUUGCUAUCAUGCAGAGAUGGAGAAAAAUCCUAUUCCUGUAUGUAAACGUGUCCCUGUGAACCGGUCCCCAAAAAUAUUGGUACUCAAAAGCAAUCGUUUAUUUUUAGCACGCAUGCGCACCUGCGUACCAGUUAUGUGCACCCCUGGCUAUAUAUAUGGCUACACUAGUACUGACAAUAGACAAAAGACCCUUUUUGCCCUGAAAUUUUGCUUAAGUGACCUCACUUUUAGGGUUGAAGUGAACCGCGGACACUCACUCAAGUUUUAAGGGGACAGCAACACUAUGGCCGAAUGACAAAAUUUUCAUUUUUGGGUGAUCUAUCCCUUUAAGUACUUCACCCAUAAAUGAAAACUCUGUCAAAAUCAAUGGAAGUCAAUGAGGCCCCAUUAAGCGUUUGGUUACCCAUAUUCUUCAAAAUAUCUUCUUCUGUGAUCAGCAGAAGAAAGAAAUUCAUACAGGUUUGGAACGACUUAAGGGUGAGUAAAUGAUAACAGAAUUUUCAUUUUUGGGUAAAAUAUCCCUUUAAGGUGUCCUUUUUGCCAUUUUACUAUAUGUAAGAAGGAUGCUCAACAGCGCCCCCUUUAUGCCAUUGCACCCGAUUUCACCCCAGACUUCACAACGGACUACUAUAUUUAUUUUCCAGUUUAGGAGGAUCGCUGGCUCAUCUUGCAUGCAAAUAGGAAUCAAACUUAAUUGGAGUGUUGUGUACCUGUUACAAAGCCACAUGAAAGUUGAUCAUCCUCCGAAUGAAAGCUGAAUCGUCAAAUCAUUUCUGUGUGCCUAUAAAAUCCUGAUGUGAUCUCACAAAUUCAAUGGCUUUCUUUUGUACACUUUCAACAGCUGCACUCACCAUUCAAAGAAUCAAUAAAAGACCUUGAAGAAAUUAUGCCAGCUGAUAUGAUGUAAUCUUUUAUUGUUGGCUAGAUAAUGCCAGGGCUGUACGUGACUGAAUCACUCAGUACUCUUUUAUUCUCUCUCUUUCUAUCUCUCGCUCUUUAUCUCUUUCUCUGUGCUAUGGAUGCCCUAGCAUCUCUCAAACAACCAGAAGACACACUCUGCCUCCUCUUUCGCUUCGGUUUCAUCAGCAGUGCCUGGAUAAAAGGGCCUCAGAGGCAGAAUAAUUAGAUCAAACAAUAGAUUUAGGAUUCAAUACAAAAUAAGAACAUCCUCUGUGUUUUUGGAAAGGUUUACCGUCAUACAGAGGCUACUUUGAGCUUCUCCCAUCCAAAAAUACCGGUUAGCGCUGGCUUAGCUCACAUUGGUCCAUUGCUUGGUUUUAGAGAAAGUAAUGACAGCUGGAAGCCUUAAAGUCUUUAGGAGGAAGGCAUGAGCUCUUGCUGGGCUGUUUGAGAAUCUGAAGAUAGCCAAAUAAUGGUUGGAAAUCAACGGCAUGAACAAUUCUGAAAAACAAGGCAGAGUUAAGGUUAGCUCAAAGGUAUGUGACAUACUCUACACAAGUGUCUCAACAUAAAUGCUUCUAGCUGUCUAAUCCAAAAAAUAAACUUUCAAUAUCAUAGUUACUCAUAAUAAUUGUGUGCAAAUAAAUAUUAAAAGAAAUUAAAUGUGAGAGAGCAUAAACAUACAAUUUAAAAACUGACCUCACAUGCGACAAAAUGUGUUAAAAUUUGCACAUUAGUUUUGACACGCACACAUUCAAACAUACAAUGUGCUUAAAUGGCUGGUCCUUUUACAAAAGAUUUAAUUCACAAACAAUUUAGAUGAGAGAUGCUUUUUUAAAGUUGACUUUUAACCUGACACGUCAUUCUAAAAACAUGGCGUUUAUGCGCCAGACGCUGGCUGCAAAAUACGCCAGCGCAAUGACCCAAGAUGUCCAUACUCCAUAGCGCAUGUUUACAUAAAAAAACAACAAAAAAAACAAUGGGAAAUCAUCACAGCGGAUACAGAAAACAAAAGCACUUGGUUCUGGAUCAUUUUUAUUCAGGAGUUGUUGACAGGAUACUAGGACUGGCUCAUUGCAAGUUCACACUACAUGACUUUUGGCUGGAUUUUGCAGUCGCAGAGAGAUUUUCAAGGUCUGCGACAAAACCACCGGAUCGCGGCCAAAUCUGUCCUCGUUGCGGUCGCCGAUGCUCGUCAAAUAUGAUCUGAGUGAUAUGAUAUCAAAUAUGAUCUCAGUGACGUGAUAUGAGCCUGAGCAGUGGGCCUGUUUACACCUGGUCACUUCAUGUGUUUUUUACUGAUCAGAUAGCUAUCUGAUUUAUCAAAACGAUUCCAUUUACACUUGGCCACAUAAAUGUGUCUCCGCAAAAUGGAUAUAAAUCCGAUCUUCAAUUACCACGCUGUGUGCAGAUUUAAUGGAGUACACGUGACGUCACCGAAAGCAACAAGCUGCAUUUUAUUGAUCAUCAGCUAAAUUCAAAAUCAAAGACCGCGAUAGCAGAGUGCGCGGCAACAGCACUGGUAAGAUCAUUUAGGCUACAUUCACACUACGAGCCUGUGAUUUUUGCUCAGAUCUGAUUAUUUUGUAUAUCUGUUCACAUUGUUGUUUUAAAUGUCGCAAAUAUCAGAUUUCCAGUGUGAACAUCAUGGUUCUGAACUAACCUUGGGUGUGCGUUUCCCAAAAGCAUCGUUAGCCAACUAUGGUCGCAAGUUCCAUUGAAUUCUAUUGGUAACGACGGAACUUGCGAUGAUGGUUGGCUUUGGGAAACACGCCCCUGCAUGAGCAAAAGAACGAUACAAACAGGGUUGCCAGGUUUUUACCACAAAAUCUACUCAAUUGCUUCUCAAAACUAGCCCAAUUGCGUUUUGUGGGGGUAUCCCGGUAAAAAUCGUAAAAGUGUAAAAGUAAUGAAAAAGUAUGCCAAUUCUGACUCCACACUGCGGUCGCAUUACAAAACAUCUGACCUGAAUUGGAUUUAGCACCACAUAUGGAAGUGGCACAAAUCAGAAUUGAAAAGAUCAGAUUUGUGGUUUGUACUGUUCACACUGUCAUGGGGAAAACAGAUACGAGUCAAAAAAAUUAGAUUUGGGACACAUUUACUUGCAGUGUGAACCUAGCCUUAGUCUCAUUACUUUUAAUGAAGAUGAUUGUGUUUUGAGCGUCUGGCCAGCAAACACCGAACGUUAGUUUUUGCUUCCCAUUUGGUUAUUUUCUUGGGAACCAAAUACUAACGUUAGGGGAACGUUCUUUUUACGGUAGGCCUAUAUAUUUUUUUGUAACCAUAAAAUAACGUUCAUGUUGCAAGGUGUUUUUUUUUUUAAAUAACUUAUACAGAUCGUUCCCUAAUGGUUAUUUUUAUAACCAUGUAAACUAUCUUUCCAACUAAAAGGUCGCAGAUGAUUUUGUGUAGGCUAAUGAUAGAGCCCUGAAAUUCGUUUAAUACAGCAUUUACUAAAAUAUAGAAAUUAGAUAAAUCAAAACGCGUUUUGAAUGAUAAUAUUAAGUCAGGGUUUAAGCGUAGUGAUAACAAAAAUAAUAAAUUCAUUGGUUUGUUUCUAUCUUCAUUUACUGCGUGCCUCUGAUCUGCACGCGCUUCCAGCACGCGCAGCAUCUGUCUUCAAUGAUCCGCGCGCUCGCAGAAUUUAAAAAUUAACGGUCAUUUCGUUUUACUGGCUGACUGAAAACGCAUUCAUUUAUCGACCUCUUUAUUGAACGAUUAACAUUACUUAAAAUUAAUAUAUUUAUGAGAGUAAAUAUGAUUUCGAAGGGAUUUGACACGCCUUACUGAAGAGAACAUGAUGUUAAUCGAGAAGGUUUUGUUUAUGGACCAAAAGAAGAAUGUCCCGCUGUGCAAAAUACACUUCAGCGGAAUCAUGUGUCAUUGUGGAAAUUCCCCAGGGAUCCCAGAGUGUGGCGUCUGAUUAACAAUCAACAGACUGUAGUGAUAGCUCAGAGAAAGCAGGAGGCCUGGCCCUCGUUACGUGUGCGUCCGGGGAGAGACAGCAGUUUACAGAGCUGCAUGUGAGCAGGGGAGAUGAAUGAACGGCACGGGGAAAUAAUCAAUUAUCACUCUCUUCACCACUGGAACAGACCACACACAUUGCAAAAAUUAUUCCGGUUUUUUUUUUUUUUUUUUUGGUCUUUGUCUUUGUCUUUAUAGUAAUAUUUUAUUUCUAAUAUUUAACUUGUUUUAAGGAUGUUAUUUCAAUAAAUACCCAAAACAGGAAGAAUCAAAACUGAAAUAAAUAAAAACUUUUUUUCAGCAAGCACACAUUAAAUUGAUCAAAAGUGACAUUGAAGACAUUUAUAAUGUUACAAAAGAUUUCUAUUUCAAAUAAAUGCUGUUCUUUUGAACUAUAUUCAUCAAAAAGUCCUGAAAAAAAUGUAUUGAGCAGCACAACUGAUUUCAACAUUGAUAAUAAUAAGAAAUGUUUCUUGAGCAUCAAAUCAGCAUAUUAGAAUGAUUUCUGAAGGAUCAUGUGACACUGAAGACUGGAGUAAUGAUGCUGAAAAUUCAGCUUUGCAUCACAGGAAGAUAUUACAUUUUAAAAUAUAUUAAAAUAGAAAACAGUUUUUUAAAAUUGUAACAGCAUUGCACAAUAUUACUCAUUUUACUGUAUUUUUGAACAAAUAAAUGCAGCCUUUGUGAGCAUAAGAGACUUUAAGAGACAUUUGAAAAAAUCUUACCGACCACAAACUUUUGAAAGGAAGUAAAUUUACUUGCGAGUCAAAAUUGUCUUGGAUUAAGUUUUUUUUUGCAUCUGCCUAUCUAUAUAUCCAUCCAUCCAUCUGUCCGUCUAUCUAUCUAUACAUCCAUCUAUCAUCCAUCCAUCCAUCCAUCUAUAUAUCUGUCUGUCCAUCCAUCCGCCCGUCCAUUCGUCCAUCCAUUCAUCCAUUCAUCCACAAUUAAAAAAAAAAAAGCUAUUUGUCAAAGUGAAAAUAUCAAACACAAUACUGCAUCAAGUACAUUUUUCUGGUUUUAGGGAUAUGUUAAGAUAUUUUUACUAUAAAGCAAGAUAAAAAUACUGAUUAAAAAAAUGAUUUUUGCAGUGCACACACUUCAAAAACAGACAAAUGAACACCUUUUGUGUCUAAUAUUUAAUUUCCUACUGUCAGUGAAAGCCCUUAACUGUGUUUUCUAGUAUAGUCUGUGAUCUUGACAUCGCUGGGGAUUUUUCAGGCCGAAAGGGUUUUUACUGAACACUCUUGGAGAAAUAUAAGUCACCAGAGUUUGUGAAGAGAGGAGCGAUAAAGGGGAGGAGAUGAAGAGAGAGAGAGCGAUUGCACCAGAAUGGGAUGAGAGGUGUCCACUGAGAAUUUGGAAGUGGAGGAUCUCACUCUGGCGUUCAAUCUGCACCAGCUCCAAUACUGUGGAAAUAAAUUGGUUUUUAAAUAGAUUGCUAAGCCUCUAUCAGCGAGCCACUGAUGUGGGUACAUUUCAUAGGCGGCUAUUUAAACCAACCUAAAGCCCAUCCAUAGUGUAACCUUAUUAAAGAUAUCUGCCGGUUAGACUUCACUAGCUUAGCGUGCUUCACCUCCUGCCUGAAAUUAAUCUCUGAAACGAUACACAUGAUAACCAAUCUCACACCUAUGGAAGAAUACAAAGCAGGACUGUAAUUAAAGUAACAAGGCUUAGUGGCCUGUAUCAGCUCUCUGUAAGAAAUGGACAUGCUGUGAGAUGCAACAGGCCUGAGAUUAUGAGGUUUAGAGGUAGUAAAGUUGACUGUUUGAAAGUUUGCGAGGUUUUGAUGUAGUGAGGUUGAAAGUUGCAAAGUUUUGAGAUUGUAGGAACACCACCAGUCAAAAGUUUGGGCACACCUUCUCUUUUUUUUAUUAUUUUUCAUAUAUUUGAAGUACAGUAAUCAAAAUACUGAGAUAUAGAGAUCGAAAUAUGUUAAGAAAAAUCAUUUGCUCAACCAACUUCAAACUCCUGGGAUGCUUCUCAUUAGUUACUUUUUGCCUGCUUUUCCUUCACUAUAUGGCCCACUUUAUCCAUUAAUAGUUAAUUUAAAAAAAUAAUGGGUUUGCACGGAAAUUCACGUAAAAUGAAAAGAGAGAAAUAUAUAUAUAUACACAGAAAUUAUAUUGUACAGUUGUACACUUGUUUUAUUAUUGACAACGCAAGCAAAGUUGUGCAAAUAAAAUUUUUGGUCAGGCAUGAACACAUGCAAAAACAAGAGAAACCAACAAAAUAUUAAAACUGAUUAUGUUGUAGUCAGUGUAUGCUUUUUUCCUAUGGGCUUUUUGUUUUUCUAUCCUUUUUUUUUUUUUGCAUAGCAUAAUAAAAGUUGUUGUUGUAGUUUUCCUUUUUUUUUGCCAAAUAAUUUUGUCCAAUAAAUACCUUAACCAAGUUUUUAACUAAUUUCAAGCAUUUAAGUAUAAACCUUUAAAUAAAAGGUUUUUUAAACCAUGAAAAUUACAAAUUCAGUUAAGUGUGUCCAAACUUUUGAUUGGCCGUGUAGCUUCUAUUUCCUGUACUGAGUGUAACAUAUGCUAAUGCAGCACAUUUUCAAUUGAUUAAUGCCACUGAUCUUAUUUGUGGAGAAGAGCAUUAUGGUCCUGAAGGAAGUCAGGGGAUGAUAGAGCAUCAUGACAUCAUGCACAAGAAAAUGAGGAACAUCCGAUAAAAGAGCUUACUUAAAAAUGCUGAGUUUAUAAAAAAAUAACCCUGUUGGUCAGGCCUUUGUGCUGGGUGUAAAUACCAACCAACACAACCAUGAAGGGUAAACUAAUUAGUUGAAUGACUAUCCAUUAGUCAAAGAAUUAUCAAUUGCAAAAAGAAAAUAAAAACACUAAUAAUACUCCAUAAUCUGAAUUAAUCUAGUAUAUAGAUUUUAGUCAUGUGAAUAGAUUAAUAAUUCAUACCUUAAAUGUUUGUAGAGCUUACAUAAUUUGGUUUCGAUUUGAAUAGACAAAGUGGACAAUAUCUGGAAAGAGCCAAAUAAAUAAAUAAAAUACUGACAAACAUGCUCCACUUCUUGUCAAUAUCUCAUAUCCUCCGAAAUUAAUUAAAGCUCCUGUAGAGAAAAAUUUGAUCUGUAAUUUAAGGCUUUUUGCAACUAUGUGAAUUCAAAUGUCUAGAAACAUAAACAGAAACAUUAAUUCUACAGCUGAAUAAUCAUAUAUAGAGUGAUGGACAUUGUCCUGUCACAAAAACAUAUCAGUCAUAUUCUAAUGAAUAUGAGGAAAUUGUGUUUUUUGUUGUUUGGAGGUACAUUGAGUCUAAUAAAUAAAAUAAAUUAAAAGCUGUCGAAUGCUAUAAGCUCAGACAACAACAAAUAAAGAGAGUUCAACGGUGUCAAUAGACCAAGCAAAAGAAUCCAAGGCGAAUCCAGCUCUGCACUAAUUAUAUAUAAAUAAAUCUCAACAUGCUUUUUGAAGCAAACUAAAACCAUCAGUAUAACUCAAAAUUUCUGUUCGUGAUUUGUUUGUUUGUUUGUGUUCGUGCAUAUAUUUUUAAAAUGUUUGUAAUGUAUUUUUUGUUUUUGGCUUGCAUAUUUGUUCAUGACCUACAUUCAAAACUGAUUCUUCACCUAUAAGGGACAAAAUAUACAAAUACAUCAUAAUUUUACUUAAAUCAAGCUUUAUUUAUAAUAUGAGGGGGAGGAACAAAGAUGAUGUGCAUAUAAAAAUAAUUUCAAUAAAGAGCAAAUUAAAAUGAACUGCAGAGGCUUGAAUAAUUUCAUCACGUCAUAAACUGCAGACAGAUGCAAGUUAAACAGCGAGAUAACAGCAUCAAUAAAAUUGAUAGCAGAGAGAAAUUCUGUUCAUAUACUGUAAAAAAAAUAUAUUUUAAUCUUAAAUACAGGAAAUAUUCUAAUAUAACAGAUAAUUGUUGGUUUGCAUGUGACCUUUUAUACAAUUGCCACUCCUAAGGCACUGUUUAGCAUAAAUUAAUAAAGGAAUAAAUGAAAUUCCAUUCAUCCUGAGUGUACAUGCUAAGAAUAAAAAACAUUCUUUUUAAGCUGCCAAAACCUGUUAUAUCUAAAACUAUUUUCAUCUAAACAGAUAUUUCCGUUAGUUUUGAAUCUAUGCACCCUUAAGAAUGAUAUCAAAAAUGACUUAAAAAGUUAAGCAACAGACUAAAAAACUGAUAUAAUCUCCUCUGAUUUUCAGUUGUGUGGUUCCCCUAGUGGUAAAACAUUACAAUAUUCCUCCUCCACACCUCUUUUCUCUCUAUUCAUUUAAACACAUAGCCGAAAGAACGAUAAUUACAGAGUGAUCAAGGAUAGAGCGGGCUGAUUGUUGCCUUUAGUCUAUCUGAAAUGCUAAUACAUCACUUAAAUGUGCUGAAUGAUAAUGGAGAACAAAUUAAAAUGUUUGCAGAUUUACAAAUCGUCCACGUCAAUACAUCAACAGCCGGUCCAAAUGCAAUACAUUUGUUUUUAUGCAAAAUAGAUAUAAAUGUAAAAAGCAAAAGAAUUCUUUUUUAUAAAACAAUCUCAUGUAUAUUUAUCAGAUCUGAUCGUAAGCUUUCAUAAGUCGAGUAGAUCCUAUUAGGUUCCCUAAAUGGAUUUCAUGGACGUUAGAAUGCAGCAUCAUACGCUCGCCUGAUACAUAUUCAUGAUAUACGCGUGCCUACAUGGGAAGCCACGCCGCAGUCAAUCUAAAGCCGUGGUAACUGUUUAUCUGCAGUGUGUUCCUUUACAAUCCGCAUAAAUUUAGCUGUCAGUGGCAUCGUGGACAUUUCAUUCCAUUUUUUUUCUCUCCAGCCCUCACGGAGCUCCAUAUGGAAACCCUGCACGAUAAAUGUCAUUUCAAAAUCAAUUUGCAUUAAAAAGGUGGAGUGUGUGCGGUCCUGAGAAAAGAAUAUAUGGCACAAACCGAACACAUUUGCAUCUACAACCCCUCCCGGCACGUUACAAUAUACAGCUUCCCUUUCGGUGAGGACGCCGUAGCAUUUUAAAGCAGAACUCAAAUCACAACAAAACCCCAGUUUUUCCUUUCCGGUGGCUGAAAAGAUGUUUAGUAGGAGCAGGCGGAUAAAUCAACAGCACAAGCAUCACACACAAACAGGAAAUGCAGCUUCGCUGACUCAAUAAAUGGAUGUGGGCGUGAACCUCGGCGUUAGCAAACGCAUGUGUGUGUGUGCAGGCAGGUGGGCCUUCUGGAUUCAACGCUCUCUCUAGUCCAUUGCAGGCGCCGCCGAUAUGACUCUCCUCGACUACGCGUAUUCUUAAGCAAUAACAACGAGAGCCGUAUUAUCCACCCAAGAAUACCCGUCACCGAAGAGAGUCUUUUACAGAGAGAAACAACAGAACCGCCGGCAUCGUCCGCGGCCGUUCGGAAAACGCGGCCUUUUCAAAACAAUUGAUUGAAGACGCUUUGUAGCGCAAGGCAAGGGCCCCUCAACGGCUCGU